rnacentral:rRNA from 1 species
ACGAAUGUUGGCGGCGUGUCUAAGGCAUGCAAGUCGAGCGGCCACGUAGAGCGCGCAAGCGCUUUUACGUGGUAGCGGCAAACGGGUGCGUAACACAUUGGCAAUCUGCCUCGCAGUCGGGCAUAACCCACCGAAAGGUGAGCUAAUUCCACGAUAUACUCCCACUGUUAGUAAGUGGAGAGGAAAGUCGCAAGACGCUGUGAGAGGAGCCUAUGGCCUAUCAGCUAGUUGGUAAGGUAACGGCUUACCAAGGCUACGACGGGUAGGGGAUGUGAGAGCAUGAUCCCCCUCACUGGGACUGAGACACUGCCCAGACACCUACGGGUGGCUGCAGUCGAGAAUAUUCCUCAAUGGGCGAAAGCCUGAAGGAGCGACGCCGCGUGCACGAUGAAGGCCUUCGGGUCGUAAAGUGCUUUUACUAGGGAAGAAACAUGACAGUACCUAGAGAAUAAGGGGUUGCUAACUCUGU